rnacentral:rRNA from 1 species
UACGAAGGGGGCUAGCGUUGCUCGGAAUUACUGGGCGUAAAGGGCUCGUAGGUGGCCAACUAAGUCAGACGUGAAAUCCCUCGGCUUAACCGGGGAACUGCAUCUGAUACUGGAUGGCUUGAGUUUGGGAGAGGGAUGCGGAAUUCCAGGUGUAGCGGUGAAAUGCGUAGAUAUCUGGAGGAACAUCGGUGGCGAAGGCGGCAUCCUGGACCGAUAUUGACGCUGAGGCGCGAAAGCCAGGGGAGCAAACGGG